UCUUCCACGUCAAGAUGCAUCGACCCGGAACGAGGUCCCGCUUCUGCCUCCCUCGCAUCCCCUACAUCAGCGAUAAGGACGGCGACUGGGAGAGGAAGAGCCCGGUCGCCGUUGAAGACGGAGCAGAAUGCAGAUGCGGAGGUGGCGGACGAGACGGAUGAGUAAGUGCGGCGGCGUGGUUCGUCGGACGGCGGGCUCCCUCGUUCGCCGGAGGAGCAGCGCGACGAAGGGGCAGAACGAACGAGAAAAUAUUAGCUGUAGCUCAGAUGCAGCGGCGGCCGACGAGGCGGAUGCGGAAGCGGCGGCGGUGGCGUGAUUCGUCGGACGGCGGCUCCGUCGUCCGAUCGGAGAAGAAGCAGAGGGCAGAGCAACCGGGCAAGAGUCGAACGAAAAAAU
rnacentral:lncRNA from 1 species